rnacentral:rRNA from 1 species
GUGACAGCCGCCGCGGUAAGACGUAGGGGGCGAGCGUUGUCCGGAAUCAUUGGGCGUAAAGAGCGCGUAGGCGGCCCGGAAAGUCGGAUGUGAAAACCUGGGGCUCAACCCCAGGCCUGCAUCCGAUACUCCCGGGCUCGAGGCAGGUAGGGGAGAUCGGAAUUCCUGGUGUAGCGGUGAAAUGCGCAGAUAUCAGGAGGAACACCGGUGGCGAAGGCGGAUCUCUGGGCCUGUCCUGACGCUGAGGCGCGAAAGCUAGGGGAGCGAACAGGAUUAGAUACCCCGGUAGUCC